rnacentral:rRNA from 1 species
UACGGGGGGGCAAGCGUUGUUCGGAAUUACUGGGCGUAAAGGGCUCGUAGGCGGCCAACUAAGUCAGACGUGAAAUCCCUCGGCUUAACCGGGGAACUGCCUCUGAUACUGGAUGGCUUGAGUUCGGGAGAGGGAUGCGGAAUUCCAGGUGUAGCGGUGAAAUGCGUAGAUAUCGGGAGGAACACCUGUGGCGAAAGCGGCGCACUGGACCACAACUGACGCUGAGGCGCGAAAGCUAGGGGAGCAAACAGG